AGAGUUAAAUAGUACGUGAAAUUGCUAAAAGGGAAACGAUUGAAAUCAGUGUUGACCGUUGGUAAAUCAGCUAGUCAGUAAAAUGGCUGGUGCACUUUGCCGGCGGUCGGGUCAACAUCGGUUUCGGAUGGGGGGUAGAUUAAUACGAGAAGGUGGCUCGCUCUUCGGGGUGAGUGUUAUAGCUCGUAUGAGUGCCUCCGCCGGGACCGAGGACUGCGGUGCAUGCCUCUCGGGGCUGGUCAGCUGGGUGCUGAUCACUUGGCCGCCUGCGGACAACCUAGUUGAUCGUAGGCGACCCGGUGGUCACCUAUUCGGUGUGGACACAAAUGCGCCAAGGAUGCUGACGAAAUGGCUUUAAACGACC
rnacentral:rRNA from 1 species